UUUUGAACCAGAUGAUGAUGGAUGUUGAGACAUGUUGUAGAGCUUUUGAGAGAAGUUUCUUUGCCCUAGCUGAGUUUCUCUGAGAAGUUGAAUGGAGAUGGAAAUUGUUGUGUUUAGGUAGCGUGUGCUUAUGGCAUAGAUACUAUUUUCAAUGCUAGGGAAUGACUUUUCAUUAAUGUGGCUCUUUCUUUUAAGUGGGCAGACACUAUUUUU
rnacentral:lncRNA from 1 species